rnacentral:rRNA from 1 species
GAUCAUGGCUCAGAUUGAACGCUGGCGGAAUGCUUUACACAUGCAAGUCGAACGGGUAGAGGGGGCAACCCUUGAGAGUGGCGAACGGGUGAGUAAUAUAUCGGAACGUGCCCAGUCGUGGGGGAUAACGUAGCGAAAGUUACGCUAAUACCGCAUACGAUCUAAGGAUGAAAGCGGGGGAUCGCAAGACCUCGCGCGAUUGGAGCGGCCGAUAUCAGAUUAGGUAGUUGGUGAGGUAAAGGCUCACCAAGCCGACGAUCUGUAGCUGGUCUGAGAGGACGACCAGCCACACUGGGACUGAGACACGGCCCAGACUCCUACGGGAGGCAGCAGUGGGGAAUUUUGGACAAUGGGCGCAAGCCUGAUCCAGCAAUGCCGCGUGCAGGAUGAAGGCCUUCGGGUUGUAAACUGCUUUUGUACGGAACGAAACGGUGAGCUCUAAUACAGUUUGCUAAUGACGGUACCGUAAGAAUAAGCACCGGCUAACUACGUG